UGGAGAAGGGGAGCACGUGCAAAAUCAGAUUAACUAGAAGUGAGUUGCACGUGCCCUGCUUCUCCAAC
rfam:Glycine max cultivar Williams 82 chromosome 10, whole genome shotgun sequence.